GCGGGUAUGGUUUAGUGGUAGAAUGCGACCUUCCCAAGGUUGAGAUACGGGUUCGAUUCCCGUUACCCGCUCCA
rnacentral:tRNA from 1 species